CUGCCAGAUAACCUACUUGCUGCCAAUGCCCAAGUACAUCCAGUGCUGCGACUUCUUGGACAAAACAUAACUUUCUGCUGACUAAUGUCUCUGCUUUGCCCCAACCUGCUGAAUGCCCAGGAUUUUACUAGAAUACAGCAGAUGGAAAUAAGGUGAAUUU
rnacentral:lncRNA from 1 species